rnacentral:lncRNA from 1 species
GGAAAUAUAAGUGAGAGAUCCUAGAUUUGAGACCUACCACUUACAUAGUUUUUCAUGAAAAAUUUUAUAUUUGUACAAUAGAUUUCAUGAAACUUUUAGAGUGCAAAAGUAAAAUGUACGACCAUCAUGUCUACUAGCAUAUUAUGUUCUCAAGCCUGGGGAAAGUCAUUAAUUUUAGAUUAGUUCAUCAAGGCAAAAAUCAAUAUCACAUAUAAGAUUUUUAAAGUGUGAAGGGAG